rnacentral:rRNA from 1 species
AUGUCUAUCGUGGAGAUCGCCCCACUGAUUUAUGAAAAAGUUCCAAGGCGGCAGCGCAAGACCCCUUCUGUCUGCGAUGCCCUAGCCGACCGUUCCUGGGCAUGGGACACCUUCGGUUCUCUUGGGCCGGCGGCGCUGGUCCAGUACGUCCAGCUAUGGCAGCGGCUACGUCAGCUCACUCUCUCGGACUCUUCGGACUCACUGACUUGGCGAUGGACCGCCAACGGCGCCUACACCGCGAGCUCGUGCUACCACGCAAUGUUCCUUGGCUCCAUCCAGCCCCCCCCCCCCCACUGGCGGCUUACCUGGCGCCCCUGGGCGCCACUUCGCGUGAAGAUCUUCUUCAGGCUUGCAGUCAGGGAUCGAUGCUGGACAGUGGAGCGCCUCACUAGGCGUGGCCUCCAACACGGCUCUUCGUGCUCCCUGUGUGACCAGGCACCGGAAACCAUGGCCCAUCUCCUCUUGGGAUGCCCGUUCGCGUGA